rnacentral:tRNA from 1 species
AGGCUAAAUAACAUAAUCGGUAAUGUGCGAGAUUGCAAAUCUUAAAAUACUGGUUCAAGUCCGGUUUUAGCCUU